rnacentral:rRNA from 1 species
CAGCCGCCGCGGGAAUACGUAGGGGGCAAGCGUUGUCCGGAAUUAUUGGGCGUAAAGCGCGCGCAGGCGGUUUUUUAAGUCUGGUGUCUAAGUGCGGGGCUCAACCCCGUGACGCACUGGAAACUGGGAGACUUGAGUGCAGAAGAGGAGAGCGGAAUUCCACGUGUAGCGGUGAAAUGCGUAGAGAUGUGGAGGAACACCAGUGGCGAAGGCGGCUCUCUGGACUGUAUCUGACGCUGAGGCGCGAAAGCGUGGGGAGCAAACAGGAUUAGAUACCCCGGUAGUCCCUGUCUCUUAUACA